CGCCGGAAAAUCCCUGAGCCGUUGUUGUUUAUUUUUAUGAAGCCCUGCAGCACAGCUGAAAUGAAAACAGAUUCUCUAGCUGAGCCUUUUCAUUAGCGAGAAUUAGAAUGAAUCACCAUUCAUUAUUAUGAAAACAAAAACCCUGUCAUAUUUGAUUGAUGACGUGUAUCCGCCUGGAAUUGAUCUGACGUAGCAUGUCGCCUACAGCUGGGGCCUACUUGUGAAGCAUGGACUGGAGUAUAUCAGCCGAACAGAGUCAACAACUUGGUUGUCGGGAGCGACCUGAUGCACUGUCAAUAUUUGGGCGGCUCGCCCCCCCGAUGGCAGUGACCUGUAGUGUGGCUUUAUUUACUCUGGAGUUAAUGAAAGGGCGACAAUGAACAGGAGUCGACCAGCAGCACGUCGCUCAUUUGCAUGGAGAUAGGAAUCAGUGUGAUAAGCUGCUGAAGCAGACCCCCAUGAAACAGACCCAGAGAGACGGCCUCACAGUGGAAACUGUGAUAAGGACAAGGCCAUCCAAAAGGCCAAAGGCAACAACAACAAAAUAAAACUUAUUAGUUGCUGUUUUGUGAAUUAUUAUUAUUUUUUAUUAAUCUGACUGAAAAACAAACACGAAGUCACAUUACCAUUGGAGGAAAUUUUUCUGGGUACAAGGCAUGCACACACACGCACAAAUACACAGGAAGGUGU